rnacentral:rRNA from 1 species
AUUGAACGCUGGCGGCAGGCCUAACACAUGCAAGUCGAGCGGAUGAAGGGAGCUUGUGCUUGGAUUCAGCGGCGGACGGGCGGGUAAGGAAUAGGAAUCUGCCUGGUCGUGGGGGCUAAGGUAAGGUAACGGGAGCUAAUCUAGCAUACGUUCAGAGGUAGAAAGUCGGGGAUCAUCAGACAAAGCGCUAUCAGCUGACACUAGGUGAGAUUAGCUAGUUGGUGUGGUAAAGGCCUACCAAGGCGACGAUCCGUAACUGAUCUGAGAGGAUGAUCAGUCACACUGGAACUGAGACACGGUCCAGACUCCUACGGGAGGCAGCAGUAGGGAAUAUUGGACAAUGGGCGAAAGCCUGAUCCAGCAAUGCUGCGUGUGUGAAGAAGGUCUUCGGAUCGUAAAGCUCUUUAAUUUGGGAGGAACAUAAGUAAGUUAAUAUCUUGCUAUUUUGACGUUACCAACAGAGAAAGCACCGGCUAACUUCGUG